UUUCCGGUUGAUCCUGCCGGAGGCCACUGCUAUGGGGGUCCGACUAAGCCAUGCGAGUCAUGGGGCGCCUUGUGCGCACCGGCGGACGGCUCAGUAACACGUCGGUAACCUACCCUCGGGAGGGGGAUAACCCCGGGAAACUGGGGCUAAUCCCCCAUAGGCCUGAGGUACUGGAAGGUCCUCAGGUCGAAAGGGGCUUUGCCCGCCCGAGGAUGGGCCGGCGGCCGAUUAGGUAGUUGGUGGGGUAACGGCCCACCAAGCCGAAGAUCGGUACGGGCCAUGAGAGUGGGAGCCCGGAGAUGGACACUGAGACACGGGUCCAGGCCCUACGGGGCGCAGCAGGCGCGAAACCUCCGCAAUGCGGGCAACCGCGACGGGGGGACCCCCAGUGCCGUGGCAACGCCACGGCUUUUCCGGAGUGUAAAAAGCUCCGGGAAUAAGGGCUGGGCAAGGCCGGUGGCAGCCGCCGCGGUAAUACCGGCGGCCCGAGUGGUGGCCGCUAUUAUUGGGCCUAAAGCGUCCGUAGCCGGGCCUGUAAGUCCCUGGCGAAAUCCCACGGCUCAACCGUGGGGCUUGCUGGGGAUACUGCAGGCCUUGGGACCGGGAGAGGCCGGGGGUACUCCUGGGGUAGGGGUGAAAUCCUAUAAUCCCAGGAGGACCGCCAGUGGCGAAGGCGCCCGGCUGGAACGGGUCCGACGGUGAGGGACGAAGGCCAGGGGAGCGAACCGGAUUAGAUACCUGGGUAGUCCUGGCUGUAAAGGAUGCGGGCUAGGUGUUGGGUGGGCUUCGAGCCCACCCAGUGCCGCAGGGAAGCCGUUAAGCCCGCCGCCUGGGGAGUACGGCCGCAAGGCUGAAACUUAAAGGAAUUGGCGGGGGAGCACAACAAGGGGUGGAGCCUGCGGCUUAAUUGGAUUCAACGCCGGGA
rnacentral:rRNA from 1 species